UUUUAAAGAGCCGCGGUAUUUUGACCGUGCAAAGGUAGCAUAAUCAUUAGUCUCUUAAUUAGGGGCUGGAAUGAAUGGCUUGACGAGAAAUCAACUGUCUCUUAUUAAUUUAUAAAAUUUAACUUUUGAGUUAAAAGGCUUAAAUAAAUCUUAAAGACGAGAAGACCCUAUAGAGCUUGACAUUUUAUUUUUAUAUAGUUUUUAGAAUAUUUUUCUAUAUUGAAUGAAAAUGUUUUGUUGGGGUGACAUGAAGAAUAAUUAAACUCUUCAUUAUAAAAUCAUUGAUUUAUGUUUAUUAUGAUCCAUAAUUUAUGAUCAUAAGAUUAAGUUACCUUAGGGAUAACAGCGUAAUUGUUUUCGAGAGCUCAUAUUGACAAAGCAGAUUGCGACCUCGAUGUUGGAUUAAGAAUAAUUUUGGGUGCAG
rnacentral:rRNA from 1 species